rnacentral:lncRNA from 1 species
UUGUCACAUGGUUUUUGCGGCAUUGUGUACCACUGACCACUGUUGUGUCAUAGAUCUACUAUUAAAAUGGUGUUGAUAUAGGAGUGUACCUGAUGCUUGUUGUCCAUUACAAGAAAACAACGGAAAUGAAGGCAAGAAGGCUAAGUGGUCAGUACUCUUUACCUCGAGUUUCAACUAUUUUCCCAUUUGAGUUUAGCUAUGUUGAUCACAAAUUAUUAUAUCUUCUAUGCAGUUCACCGUGUGUAGGAGAUUUUGUUAGAUAGAACAAAGAAAAGAAUGGCAAAGGGGUGAAAGAAUAGGUUAAGUACUGAAGUACCAUUCUUUUCCCUCCCCCUUUCCGCUGAAUUAGAA